CAUAAUCAUUUGUCUUUUAAUUGAAGGCUCGUAUGAAUGGCUGGACGAGAUAUUUACUUUCUUAAUUUAAAUUUUAAGAAUUUGAUUUUUUAGUUAAAAAGCUUAGAUUUUUUUGCAAGACGAGAAGACCCUAUAGAAUUUUAUUUUUGUAUUUUUAAUUUUAAUUUGUUGUUAUUUAAAUAUUUUAAUUGAUUAUCAAGAAUUUUGUUGGGAUGACAGUAAAAUUUAUUUAACUUUCAUUUAUUUUAAUUCAUUUAUUUAUGUGUUUUUG
rnacentral:rRNA from 1 species